rnacentral:lncRNA from 1 species
GUCAUGGUUUCCUAUUAUGUGAACAAUAUACAAAAGUUAAGAAAUUUUAAGAUACAUCCCGAAUGAAUUAAAACUCAAAUUAUAUGGAAUUCAGCCAGAAGAUAAUGUACACAAUUCUAGUGAAUUUUUAUUUAAAGAUCACAUUUUUAAGGAAAUACAUCUGGAAAACCCUGUCCCCUUGCGUCUGUAAGAAAAAACUGCACGUGAGAGUAGGACUAGGGGUACUGGGAAGUGUAGUAUCUUUUCCUAAGGCACAUGUCUGGCCAAACUACACACAUCAAACAACCCGUGCGGUUCCCACAGCCUGUGCAGGAGGAGCUGACACAGGAGACAGCAGUACUACGGAACAGCUGCCAUUCUGUUUACACGCAGAGCUCGCAGGGUGACCGGCCUCUGCCCGGGAAGUUUUCUACUAUGCAGAAGGAACACGUGAGAAUAGGUAGUCUUUAUGAAGCCGGAAGAACUUCCUCCCACUCCAAACCAUCUAGAGGGCUUUGGAACGCAGACUUUUUCAGGACAAAUGGGGUCUUAAGGAAUCCCAUCUUGAGGGGACCUUCCCUAAGUAACCUUAGGGACCUAGAGGAGCGGUGGGGGCGGGGAGGGUCCCGGGGUCUAGGUAAAAGGCACCGUGACCAUCGGCUAAGGGUGAGCGACGCUGUUCCCAGGCCGGCACCUGCGCUGGACCACCCUGCGAGCAGCUAGGCGGGGACCCCACCGCGGCUGAUGACACAUCCCCCGACCUCGUGGCCGGGUGGGGUGUUCUGCACCGCGCCAUGUAAGGCAAGGUCUACUCGCUGCCGGUGGGCUCUAAUGCCUCCCAGGCCACCCCAGUGCCAGCCGCCCACCACCGCCCACCCGGACCCCAGUGUCCUCGGACAGGAUCGCGGGGCAGGGAUCCCAGGACGCCAAGGCGCCCCCUCUGACUCGGCCAGUGUUGCAUCAUGCACCACGCCGCGCCCUCAGGGAAGCAAAAUGGACUCCGUGGAGGCUACAGACGCAUGGGCACCGGCCCUGGGCGUACAUCCCAGGCCCGCCCUGUCAUCGCCCUGCCGGGAGAAUGCUGGGGACCCCCGCGCCCGACCCUUGCCGUGUCCGCGACCCCAAGGGACUCGAAGACCCCCUCCCAAGCUUCGUGCACCGCCCAGGGCUACUGCGUCAGACCCAGCGGUGCCAACUCCGACCCUCUGGAUCUCUGCAAGCUGACCACAGAGCUCAGAG